CUAUAGCUAAAUAAAAGACACAUUCAUCCUUCUCCUUCUGACUGCUUUGAACAUUUAUAGCAUCUCAUAACUGUAGUUUUCCAAAGCUUGGAUUGGAACUUUUCAAGUCCUUUUUUGGAGGACAAAGGAAGUGACAGCUUUUCUGAGAAACAUGUUUUUAAAUCCAAAGGCUUUAACCACAUUCCUUGCACAUGAACAUGUUUGCUUUUUUUUCCCUUCCCUCAUUGUCUCCUUCCCAUCUAAUACCAUUGAAGUUAUAGACAUCUGCAUUUUUAGCAGAGUUUUAUCCAUUCGUUUUUAAAAACUUGAAAAAUGCAGAUGUUGAAGAAAUAAUAAGUAUCCUGCCCUUUUAUACUUUGUGGCAGGAUUGUGCUAUAAGCAAAUGAAUCAAGCAACUAUGUAAAUCAUAAACAAAAACUAAAAACGAACCAAAGUAAAAAGGAUAACUUCCAGGUAGCAUCUUUCUAUUCUAACCUGUCAUUUAAGGGAAUACUAGUGAUUUAUUCUAAACAGGAUGUAAAACUUACUCCAGAUUACUCUUCCUCUGUCCCGCCUGGCAAGAACUCAAGUAUAACUGUGGUAUAGCAGCUCUUCCCAGGUAUACUGGUUAUACACAGGUUUGUGUGUGAUCUCAGAAUACACAGCCGACAUAGAUAUGAUAUGAUAAUUGGUAAUGGCAAGUUCAUUUACAUUCUUUACACUUCUAUGACCAGGCCUUAAGGAAAGAACAGUUUUUUAAAGAACCAGGUAGUGUCUUCCUACCUAUCUCCAAAUACAUGUCAAAAAAUAAGGGUGUUUGUGCUUUGACUUUGUUUUUGCUCAGUAACACAGUCAAGCAACAGUUUGUUUCCAAGUGGCCCAUUGAGCUGUGUAAGCAUUUUUGUUUAUUUCAAAUAAAGUGCAUUGGUAUCAUUUGUUAUUCAUGCUAUGCAUCCAUACCACGCUAUCUUCUGUAUCAGGUAGUCUAACAGAAAUGUACCCAUGUUGUUAGAAGAAAGAAAGAAAGAAAGAAAGAAAGAAAGAAAGAAAGAAAGAAAGAAAGAAAGAAGCAAAAUACAAAGAUUGGCAACCACCCCCAAAAUUAAUAACUCGUUUUAUUACCAAAGCUGUGGAAAAGUAAACACUCUCAUACAUUCCUAAUGGGUAGUAUAAACUCCAAUAAAGGGCAAUUUGGCAUUAUCUAUCAAAACUAAGAAUAAGGGCUAUACUUUCAGGGGUAAUUUCUAUAGUUCAUUACUAGAGUAGUUUCUCUGAAUGUGUAGGGUGCCAGAAACCACAAGGAGGAGGCACAGCAUUCUCUAGUGAGUGUGAAGCCGGCUGUUGGUGUUGCUUCGCUGAAACUGCCAUUUGCCACUGAUAAUCGUUCUUCUUUUCCAUCAGGAGACUAAGAGGUAGAAAACGCAGUCUGAGUGGUAUUUAAAAAAUUACAAAUACAUAAUUUUCCAUAGAACCAGCAAUUCAAUUUUUGAGUGUUUGCCAAUAUAUCUGAACACAUAUAAAAUAUGUACAGUGUUCUUAAUUUCAGCUUUUUUAUAACAGCAAAAGAUUGGAAAUGAUGCAAGUAUCUCUUAACAGCAUACCGGUUAGAUAAUUUAAGAAUCAUUCAUACAGUGAAAUACUAUGACAUAUAAAAGAAUGAGGAAACUUUAUUUGUACCAAUAUGAAAAGAUCUCCAAGAUGUAUUGCUAAGAGUAGAAAAAUCAAGGUGCCAAACACAGUAUAAUACACUAUGUAAGAAAGGAGGUAAAAUAAGAAUGUAUAUGUUACAUAAAGAACCCUGAGGCUGGGCACGGUGGCUCUCGCCUGUAAUCCCAGCACUUUGAGAGCCCAAGGCAGGCAGAUCAUGAGGUUGGGAGAUUGAGAACAUCCUGAACAUCCUGGCUAACACGGUGAAACCCCGUCUCUACUAAAAAUAAAAUAAAAAAAAAAAAACCUAGGCGUGGUGGUACGUGCCUGUAGUCCCAGCUACUUGGGAGGCUGAGGCAGAAGAAUUGCUUGAACCCGA
rnacentral:lncRNA from 1 species